CAACCCUGUCAAAAAGUGGGCGAAGGAUCUGAACAGACACUUCUCAAAAGAAGACAUUUAUGCGGCCAAGAAACAUGAAAAAAACUCAUCAUCACUGGUCAUUAGAGAAAUGCAAAUCAAAACCGCAGUGAGAUACAAUUUCAUGCCAUUUAGAAUGUAACUUAGUUCAACCAUUGUGGAAGACAGUGUGGUGAUUCCUCAAGGAUCUAGGACCAGAAAUAGCAUUUGACCCAGCAAUCUUAUUACCGGGUAUAUACCUAAAGGAUUAUAAAUCAUCCUACUAUAAAGACACAUGCACACAUAUGUUUAUUGCAGCACUGUUCACAAUAGCAAAGACUUGGAACCAACCCAAAUGCCCAUCAAUGCUAGACUGGAUAAAGAAAAUGUGGCAUAUAUAU
rnacentral:lncRNA from 1 species